rnacentral:ncRNA from 1 species
UAAAGGCAUGGUCCUGACCUUAUUAUUAGCUCUAACCCAACUUACACAUGCAAGUCUCCGCAACCCCGUGAGUAUGCCCUUAAUCCCCUACCCGGGGACGAGGAGCGGGCAUCAGGCACAAAUUUUUAGCCCAAGACGCCUGGCCAAGCCACACCCCCAAGGGAAUUCAGCAGUGAUAAAUAUUAAGCCAUAAGUGAAAACUUGACUCAGUCAGGGUUAAGAGGGCCGGUAAAACUCGUGCCAGCCACCGCGGUUAAACGAGAGGCCCUAGUUAAUAAUACACGGCGUAAAGGGUGGUUAAGGAAAACAUAACAAUAAAGCCGAAUGGCCCUUUGGCUGUCAUACGCUUCUAGGUGUCCGAAGCCCAAUAUACGAAAGUAGCUUUAAUAAAGUCCACCUGACCCCACGAAAGCUGAGAAACAAACUGGGAUUAGAUACCCCACUAUGCUCAGCCAUAAACCUCGACGUCCAACUACAAUUAGACGUCCGCCCGGGUACUACGAGCAUUAGCUUGAAACCUAAAGGACCUGACGGUGCCUUAGACCCCCCUAGAGGAGCCUGUUCUAGAACCGAUAACCCCCGUUAAACCUCACCACUUCUAGCCACCCCAGCCUAUAUACCGCCGUCGUCAGCUUACCCUGUGAAGGCAAUAAAAGUAAGCAAAAUGGGCACAACCCAGAACGUCAGGUCGAGGUGUAGCGUACGAAGCGGGAAGAAAUGGGCUACAUUUUCUACUAACAGAACACUACGGACAUGCAACAUGAAAUAGUGCUUGAAGGAGGAUUUAGUAGUAAAAAGGAAGCAGAGUGUCCUUUUGAACCCGGCUCUGAGGCGCGUACACACCGCCCGUCACUCUCCCCUGUCAAAAUGCAAUAAAGUUACCUAACACCAAAGCGCUGACAAGGGGAGGCAAGUCGUAACAUGGUAAGUGUACCGGAAGGUGCACUUGGAUUAAAUU